rnacentral:rRNA from 1 species
UACAGGGGGUGCAAACGUUGCUCGGAAUCAUUGGGCGUAAAGCGCACGUAGGCGGUUCGUUAUGUCGGAUGUGAAAGCCCUUGGCUUAACCGAGGAAGUGCAUCCGAAACUGGCGAGCUAGAGUACGAAAGAGGAUCGCGGAAUUCCCGGUGUAGAGGUGAAAUUCGUAGAUAUCGGGAGGAACACCGGUGGCGAAGGCGGCGAUCUGGGUCGAUACUGACGCGUGAGGUGCGAAAGCGUGGGGAGCAAACAGG